GUCCAGACUCCUACGGGAGGCAGCAGUGGGGAAUAUUGCACAAUGGGCGCAAGCCUGAUGCAGCCAUGCCGCGUGUGUGAAGAAGGCCUUCGGGUUGUAAAGCACUUUCAGCGGGGAGGAAGGCGGUGAGGUUAAUAACCUCAUCGAUUGACGUUACCCGCAGAAGAAGCACCGGCUAACUCCGUGCCAGCAGCCGCGGUAAUACGGAGGGUGCAAGCGUUAAUCGGAAUUACUGGGCGUAAAGCGCACGCAGGCGGUCUGUCAAGUCGGAUGUGAAAUCCCCGGGCUUAACCUGGGAACUGCAUUCGAAACUGGCAGGCUAGAGUCUUGUAGAGGGGGGUAGAAUUCCAGGUGUAGCGGUGAAAUGCGUAGAGAUCUGGAGGAAUACCGGUGGCGAAGGCGGCCCCCUGGACAAAGACUGACGCUCAGGUGCGAAAGCGUGGGGAGCAAACAGGAUUAGAUACC
rnacentral:rRNA from 1 species